UAGCUUAAAAUGAGUACUCCCACGAGAAGAAGUAAAAUAAGCUAGAACCAUUAUUGUACCCCCGACCCCAUUUGAUGGGGCAUUGCGGUUGUAAAAUGGGGGUUUUCAAGGAAUAACGGUGGCGUAGGGGAAAUUGAGACGAGCCAAACAGAGAAAGGAAUAACUCAGCCAUGACCAACAAGGCAGUCAGCCGCAGCGACAAUUUCAGUAGGAUUAUUUCUGCAGUCAGAUUCGAAAUAUCCCGCGCAAUGUGUGUCGGCGCUGUUUUUCUGUUCGGAGUAGCCGCGCCUUGGUGCUGCAGAGGACGCCGAAGUCGGAACUACGCGCGGAGGAACACCAGCCUUCGGAGCGCGCGCGCGUGCGUUGAAAGCUGCGAUCGAGCAGCCAUUUGCCAGCGACGGCGCAUUCUUCUACCGUGGUUGAUGUUUCUCACUGCUUUGAACCCCCAAGACUCCACGGACUGCGGCUGCGGUCGUUUCAUUGCCAACUGUGAGGAUGAAGCAGCUUCAUGGCCGGAGAUCGGGUGCCUCCCAUCAGUUUCCCUUUUCAGCAAUAGAGGCCUUGGAGGCCUUUCUACCUGCGUUGCAUCCUGUGGCUGGACCACUCGAACGAUCUCGGCGGAAUCGUUACACAGGAAGAAGUCUGGCUGGCCCCAAGCCUGGUGCAAAAUGAAGAAAUGGCACUCCACAUCAAUUCAUGUUUACUUGUCGUCAUAACCAGUCUGUUAGCUUAAUUUUUGGUUCUUUCUAUUGAAUUCUCAAGAAAGGUACCAACUCUGUCAUUCAUUGAAAACAAAUUUUUGCACUUGGGGAUGCAGCCAUGCACAAAGCCUUUGAGCUCAUUAAUAUCUUUAUUUUUUAAAGAAAGUGCAGCUCCUGCGUGGAGCAAUAGGUUGAAUAAGACGAGGGUAAAUGAAAAGAUGGCGAAAUUAGUCAUCAACAGUUGUCCAACAAAGGAAGUCUCAAGCUAGAGGCAACAUCUUUGCAAGAGAACCAAAUGGCUCCAGCCUGAGACAUUCGUUGUUCAACCUGGCAAGUCUCCUUCUCGAAAUAUUUCCUCUAGCCUGAGACCUAUAUCCAUUCCACCACCCUUGACCAACAAUACACCUAUACAUUUGGUAACCCAUGGAAAGGUAGCAAAUUCACAUUCAAGGAAAGGGAAUGUAGUGUGCACCCUGGAAGGUAGCAUGAACAGUAUUUUAUUUACUUAAUGAAAUGCAGAUUUGCUAUCCAAUUACUUUAUUUUGAUCCCCGUUUUAUAAUUGGACAGCAUGGUUCCUCGGAGAGAAUAAUAAUUCGAAGCUUACACAAUUUUGCUCCUUUAUGUCCGUUAAAUCUGUCCUGGUUGCUACACUAUCAGCCCUGUCUGCAAUUGCAUAGCAGUGUUUUGAGCAUGCAUCCAAAUUCAAAAGAAUAGUUAGGCUUCUACCUCAGAAUGUUUGCUACUGUGUUGCAGCUCGAAUUCUAUGUCUAGGUGGUCACUGUGAUGCCAUGUGCUUUUUAAAUAAGACCAAUAUGCUAUUUGAAGGGCAAUUAAAUGCAAUCUCAAAUGACCUCAGCUCGGGGAAUGACACAAUUGGAGGUCAAUGUGAUAAGGAGGAUCUGAUUUCUGAAAACAAGGCACUUAAACGGGAGAAAGCAUGACUAAUUUCGUCUAAAGAUGCUGCUAUUGGAUAUGAUCAGGGAAGGUACUUGUUCGUGGCUGCAUUUGCAACAUGUUACAUUGCUGGCUUUAUAUAUUGCACUGGGUACAGUGAAAUGUUGCUGCUUGCACAAUAUUCAACUAAACAUGGUAGCCAUGCUAAUGUGUCCAUGCAGAACACAACUCAUCCACUAUUAUGGACUACAGUGGAACCUCAAUAAACGAAAAUCGCUUCGAAACUGCCGCUUAAAUAGGACACCAUCCUGAUAAUUGGUUGGCCCUCUGCAAUGUCUCUCAGUAAAUAUAAUGCCUGGUAAAUGGAACCAAUUUCCCUGGCACCUUGCGGCUCCAUUUAAAGAGCACCCACUGUAAAAAUAUAGGGGGGAUCGUGUUUGGAACUUUCGUAAAUGUAGUCUUAAACAAAACCGCAUUUCAGUGGGAGCGAAAUGCAAAAGCACCCAUGUACUUAGGUGCAUGUUAAAGAACCCUAGGUUGUCCAAAUUAAUUCGGGGUUACUCGCUAUGGCAUGUGUCAUAAUCAGAAGGUGGGUUCUGGUUCGUAAAAGACAAUAAUUUUUAAUAGCUUGCUCAGAAAUCCAGCACUAAAUUAUGUAGCUCGUUUGUGAUGAGUCCCAAUUUCUUAAUUUAGUACUUUGACAUUUAUCAUAUUUGUGUGCUAGUCCAUGCAAAAUACAACUGAUCGGCCUCAUUAUACCAGCCACUGUUAAUUAGGAAUGGCUUAGUCAAGCAACUUAAACUUACAGCACAAACAUCUAAGACGAACCACAAAAGGAAGAUACGACACACACUGGUGCUAACAACUUCUUUAUUUCUUCGUCGUCGAUGCAAUAUAAACCCUAGGCCACACUACCGCGCAGGCACUCAGAUUACAUUACAGAGAUCUGCCAAAUUAUCACAUACGCAAGCGUAGGAAGUCAAAUUCAGAUGGAUGCAGGGACAAAGAUAUCUUACUAAUGCAAUUAUCGCCCUGCCUUUCUUGUGGUA